AUAUAAUUUGUUCACCGACUCAGAACGAUACGGCAUCGUCUUCCACACGAGGACCAUUGUCAACAGCUAAAAGGAGGAAAAUCAGUGCAGCAGGACCAACCCAGAGGGUGCAGCAUCCAGGUUGAACAUCAAAAUAAGAGGGGAAAUAAACUUUCUUCCCAAUUACCCCAGUGGAGAGACUAAGGACACACGGGGAAGACAAAUGCUUGAGAUGGCAGAGCAGUUCAAGAUGACACUGAUCAAGAGAGGGACAUGAUUCUGAUUCACCAACAUAUGCAGCACACCUUUGCACUCAGGUGUGAAGAAAUUGUGAGUUUAGCUCCUCCCAUUGCCAAAAUAAAAGAGAGAUGGCCUGCGCUGUUUUAUGAAGCCCAGUUCUACUGUGAAUUCCAUAGGAUCACCAAUCAAAAUCUUCCAUUUUACUUCUUUGCUGCACUUGACAAAUAUACACCACAGCUGCUAUUAGGUAUUAAUAUCUUGAUGCAUUACAUC